rnacentral:rRNA from 1 species
GUGGGGAAUAUUGGGCAAUGGGCGAAAGCCUGACCCAGCAACGCCGCGUGAAGGAAGAAGGCUUUCGGGUUGUAAACUUCUUUUAUCAGGGACGAAGGAUGUGACGGUACCUGAUGAAUAAGCCACGGCUAACUACGUGCCAGCAGCCGCGGUAAUACGUAGGUGGCAAGCGUUGUCCGGAUUUACUGGGUGUAAAGGGCGCGUAGGCGGAGAGACAAGUCAGAUGUGAAAUCUAUGGGCUUAACCCAUAAACUGCAUUUGAAACUAUCUCCCUUGAGUGAUGGAGAGGCAAGCGGAAUUCCUAGUGUAGCGGUGAAAUGCGUAGAUAUUAGGAGGAACACCAGUGGCGAAGGCGGCUUGCUGGACAUUAACUGACGCUGAGGCGCGAAAGCGUGGGGAGCAAACAGGA